rnacentral:tRNA from 1 species
GGAUUUCUAGCUCAAUAGGAAGGAGUCCCUGCCUUCGAACCAGGUGGUUAGGGGUUCGAUCCCCCCCUUGAUGCA